rnacentral:lncRNA from 1 species
AGCUAGCGGUGGGUGCAAUAGCGAAGUUUUGUUCUCGUGGUUGUUUGCUUCUAGUCAUGGGUGGUGUGUUGAUAUUAGUGAUGAUCGAGUUAUAUUUGUGCAUAUCAAAUGCUUAUGCAACACAUUUGCUGCACUAUUCCAAUUACAGAAGUAAUUAAUUUCCAGUUACUUGAGAUUUUUAAACAGGUUUACCUACAUUUUACGAGAGACACUUAAAAUAAGUAAUCCUCAAUGUGUUUAUCAAACUAACAUUAUGCAUUUUUUUGGAAUAUAUUUUAAUUUUUAAACUGUUGAUUAAGUUAUCAUCAAUCCUUAAUUGUCUAUUAAGUAGUGAACUAAAGUGAUGGCCUAAAAUUAUGACCCACUCCUGAUCCAGACCAGUUAAAGACAUCAAACUGACUUCGGAUUUUUCUUCUACAUUAUAAUAUCAAAGAGCUUGAGGAAGCUAUGAUUGAGUUUAUGGUUAUAACAAAUGCAUCUUGGCCUUGUCAUCAUCAAUAAAAAGGGUGACAUGAGUGCAGCAUAGACGAAUUGAGGAUUUUAACUCUAUUACGUAGAAGAUUGCUUGACCUCUAAAUAAAUAAAUCUGACGAGUAAGCUCAAAAUAAUGUUUUUAGGUUAUAACAACAGAAAAAGUAAAUAAUAUGUUAGUUUACUUUCAUAAAUGAAGCCUAUUGUCAUAGUAAUGGAAAAGAAAAUGUUAGUGUAAUAGUAACUAUACCUUUUAUACUGUAUAAAUCUAAUGUAGGUGCAAACUACUAUAAUUUGGGGAUGCAACACACCAUCAAAAUUAUUUUUAAAUUAGUAGUAUAUUAUUAGAGGUUAUAUUAUUUUUAACAUUCAAGGGGGCGAUUGCACCCUAUCUAUGCACGCCAAUGGAUCAAUUAGAUUUAUGAAAUCCGAUUACAAACACGUCGGAAUUCAAUCUAAAAUUGAAAAUAGCAAAUUCGCUCUUUUUAAUCCAAGCCAAUCCGACUUAAAUGGAUAUCGAAUACGAAAUUCUGAUCACUCCGUUUUUCCUUCUGUUUUAAAAAACAACCACGUCGGAAUUCAAUCUAAACCUGAAAAUGGUAAAUUCGCUCUUUUUAAUCCAAGCCAAUCCGACUUAAAUGGAUAUCGAAUACGAAAUUCCGACCACUCCAUUUUUCCUUUUGUUUUAAAAAACAACCACAAGAAAUAUAAAAAAAAUUGAAAUAGAAGAAAUAACUAUAAAUGUUCUCUCAAAUUUGGUUCAAAAGUGAAACGGAUUCGAAUAUUCCGGUCCUAAAAAUAUAGAUCAACCAGAUUCGAAUCGAAUUUUUAUGAAAGGAUUUGGAUUUAUUCGGAUUGAAUCCGAAUUCCGAUCCAUUGAUAGGCCUAACCCCACCAGUGUAUAAAGUAAAUGAUUUGAAAUUUUGAAUUUAAUGUAAUUUCCAAACAAGAAAUAAAUAAGUAAAUUGAUUUUGGCCAAUGAUCCAGAAAGAAAUGAAUAACUCAUUUUCACAUUUUUCAAACAAUUUUUAAUUUUAAAUAAAUCAGUAAGUUAUAAUGUCACUCAAAGUAUAGAGCCAAACACAGAAACCAAACAAUCAUCCUUCUAUUGAGUCUCCUUAAUAAAAAAGCAUCCUUUACAAUCUACAUAUGAUUCUUCUAUCCUAUAGGAUCAUAACUUUUGCAACACUACUUGGUCCUAAAAUAGGAAAGCUUUUUUCAUUCAAUUUCAUCACUUUUUCGAACAGAUGAGUAUAAGAAAUUAGUAUAGUAUUCAAUUAAAUAGUUAAAUGGGGGUCCAUACGAUUUAGUUUUUUUUUUUAGAAUGAAAAAAUAAAAGUAACAAAAUGAGAUAGUUUGGGGGGUUGUCGAAGGAAUUAACACCAGUUUUAACUUAGAUAUUCUCUAAUUAAUUCUAUCUUUUUGGAAUCUAUCAUUUGAGGAUCCUUUGACUAAGUAAAUCGACACGGCAUGUAUUAGGCUUUAAAAACACCUGCGGCUUUAAUUCAAUUUCAAUGGGUCCUACAAUCUCAAUCCUAUAGAAGACCAUGCAAUGGAUUCAACGCACCCAGAUAUCAUCAUCAUGCUUUAUCAUUAGCCAUACAUAUAAUGAAUCCUUCACAUGAAUUAAAGAAGUAAAUGAACCUCCCCCCAUCCCCCUUUGAAAUUACACAAGUGGAUCACAUGCAAGAUUGGACACACAAGGAAGAUGGUGGCUUGGAGCGAUCAUUUUAAGUUUCUAGAAAGAUUUCUAAGAUAGUAAUAUAUGUAAAUUACAAAAAAAAAGAAAAAAAAAAAUAAAAAAAAGGAGGAAAAAAAAAAAAAAAAAAAAAAAACAGGUGGGAGGGGAGGAGGGGAGGGGAAAGGAAAGGAUAGACGUGGGGGAAGGGAGGGAGAGUAAGUUUGGUCCUUCUAAUAUUCAAAUAAAUAUAAUAUCUUAUGUAGAUAUGAAUCUUAAUUUUUGUAUCUUUAAAAGUACAAAUCAUUCAUCCGUCCCUAGUUACAACAUCUAUUUUAAAAAAGCUUUCAG